rnacentral:rRNA from 1 species
GCGGGGGAUAACUACUGGAAAGCGUAGCUAAUACCGCAGACUCCCUACGGGGGAAAGCACGGGAUCGCAAGACCUUGCACUAUUGGAGCGGCCGAUAUCGGAUUAGCUAGUUGGUGGGGUAACGGCUCACCAAGGCGACGAUCCGUAGCUGGUUUGAGAGGACGACCAGCCACACUGGGACUGACACACGGCCCACACUCCUACGGGAGGCAGCAGUGGGGAAUUUUGGACUAUGGGGGAAACCCUGAUCCAGCCAUCCCGCGUGUGCGAUGAAGGCCUUCGGGUUGCAAAGCACUUUUGGCAGGAAAGAAACGUCAUGGCUUAAUACCCCGUGAAACUGACGGUACCUGCACAAUAAGCACCGGCUAACUACGUGCCUUCAGCCGCGGUAAUACGUAGGGUGCAAGCGUUAAGUCGGAAUUACUGGGCGUAAAGCGUGCGCGGGCGGUUCGGAAAGAAAGAUGUGAAUUCCCAGAGCUUAUCUUUGGAACUGCAUUUUUAACUACCGGACUACAGUGUGUCAGAGGGAGGUGGAAUUCC